AAACAUCCUUACCACCCUCCAAUCCCAAAUCAAUACCCCAUUCAGAAAGCAAGAAGGACCAAUAAUCCAGAGACCAAAGCCAGUAACCCCAUCUCAAAUUUGCGGCUUGCAGCACCGAAAUUUUGGUCAAUAGGGUACAGGUUCCCCGGUGGACCAGUUAUGUAGAUAAAGGAAGGCGGACUAGGUGGUGGUGGACAGUAUUGGGAUGGCGACUUUUUUGGUGGUGGCGGCGGAAGAGCAGGCGGUGAUGGUGGUGGAGGGCAUGGUGGAGGCGGCGACGGUGGUGGAGGACUUUGUACGCAUGAUGGGGUACACUUGAUGCCUUGAUCACCUGGUACCGUGCUCUCGUCAAGCUUCCUUGAUUCCAAAGCGUCGAUGGGGUAUGCAAC
rnacentral:lncRNA from 1 species